GACGAACGCUGGCGGCGCGCUUAACACAUGCAUGUCGAACGGUGAAGGACGGAGCUUGCUCCGACCGGAUCAGUGGCGAACGGGUGAGUAACACGUGAGUAACCUGCCCCAGACUCUGGAAUAACCCCGGGAAACCGGAGCUAAUACCGGAUACGAGACGGAGAGGCAUCUCUACCGUCUGGAAAGUUUUUCGGUCUGGGAUGGACUCGCGGCCUAUCAGCUAGUUGGUGAGGUAAUGGCUCACCAAGGCGACGACGGGUAGCCGGCCUGGGAGGGGGACCGGCCACACUGGGACUGAGACACGGCCCAGACUCCUACGGGAGGCAGCAGUGGGGAAUAUUGCACAAUGGGCGAAAGCCUGAUGCAGCGACGCCGCGUGAGGGAUGACGGCCUUCGGGUUGUAAACCUCUUUCAACGCCGACGAAGGGCAACUGACGGUAGGCGUAGAAGAAGCACCGGCCAACUACGUGCCAGCAGCCGCCGUAAUAC
rnacentral:rRNA from 1 species